rnacentral:rRNA from 1 species
UACAGAGGUGGCAAGCGUUGCUCGGUGUCACUGGGCUUAAAGGGUGCGUAGGCGGCAUGGUACGGCUCGGGUGAAAUCCCUCGGCCCAACCGAGGAAUUGCAAGGGCGACGGCCAUGCUUGGCUGCAUCAGGGGAAGAUGGAACUCCCGGUGGAGCGGUGAAAUGCGUAGAUAUCGGGAGGAACGCCGGUGGCGAAAGCGAUCUUCUGGGGUGCAAGCGACGCUGAGGCACGAAAGCUAGGGGAGCAAACGGG